rnacentral:rRNA from 1 species
ACUAUUGGCGAUGGGCGCAUCUGUCACUUCUGGCUCGACCACUGGCUCGAUGGCCAAUUGAUUGCUGAGCUCGCCCCUGCCCUUGUCACCUCGGUUCCCCGAUGAUGCCGCAACCUCCACCUAGUCUGCGAUGGCCCGAAGAAUCGAGCUUGGAUUAAGGACAUCCGCGGUGCACUGGGUUUGAUUGCCACCAUAGAGUACGUCGACCUGUGGCAGCGACUGCGUCAUGUCACGCUAACCUCUACUCCAGACUGCAUCCACUGGCGUUGGACGAGCUCAGGCAACUACACCGCCUCCUCCUACUAUCGGGCCUUCUUCCAUGGCUCUAUCCCCGACCCGCACUGGCGCCUAACCUAG